GAACCUACGGGGCGCAGCAGUAGGGAAUCUUCCACAAUGGACGAAAGUCUGAUGGAGCAACGCCGCGUGAGUGAAGAAGGGUUUCGGCUCGUAAAGCUCUGUUGGUAGUGAAGAAAGAUAGAGGUAGUAACUGGCCUUUAUUUGACGGUAAUUACUUAGAAAGUCACGGCUAACUACGUGCCAGCAGCCGCGGUAAUACGUAGGUGGCAAGCGUUGUCCGGGUUUAUUGGGCGUAAAGCGGGUGCAGGCGGUUCAAUA
rnacentral:rRNA from 1 species